GGACUACCAGGGUUUCUAAUCCUGUUCGCUCCCCACGCUUUCGUCCAUCAGCGUCAAUCCACUUGUAGUAACCUGCCUUCGCAAUUGGUAUUCCAUGUAAUAUCUAAGCAUUUCACCGCUACACUACAUAUUCUAGUUACUUCCAAGUAAUUCAAGCUCUACAGUAUCAAUGGCCGUUCCAUCGUUAAGCGAUGGGCUUUCACCACUGACUUAUAAAGCCGCCUACGGACCCUUUAAACCCAAUGAUUCCGGAUAACGCUUGGAUCCUCCGUAUUACCGCGGCGGCUGGCAC
rnacentral:rRNA from 2 species